GAUGAACGCUGGCGGCGUGCCUAAUACAUGCAAGUCGAGCGAAUGGAUUAAGAGCUUGCUCUUAUGAAGUUAGCGGCGGACGGGUGAGUAACACGUGGGUAACCUGCCCAUAAGACUGGGAUAACUCCGGGAAACCGGGGCUAAUACCGGAUAACAUUUUGAACCGCAUGGUUCGAAAUUGAAAGGCGGCUUCGGCUGUCACUUAUGGAUGGACCCGCGUCGGAUUAGCUUGUUGGUGAGGUACCGGCUCACCAAGGCAACGAUGCGUAGCCGACCUGAGAGGGUGAUCGGCCACACUGGGACUGAGACACGGCCCAGACUCCUACGGGAGGCAGCAGUAGGGAAUCUUCCGCAAUGGACGAAAGUCUGACGGAGCAACGCCGCGUGAGUGAUGAAGGCUUUCGGGUCGUAAAACUCUGUUGUUAGGGAAGAACAAGUGCUAGUUGAAUAAGCUGGCACCUUGACGGUACCUAACCAGAAAGCCACGGCUAACUACGUGCCAGCCGCCGCCGUAA
rnacentral:rRNA from 1 species